AUCACAUCGAUUUACAUUUGAUGUGAAUUGAUUGACUUAAAAUCAAAUUUGACUCAGUGGAUCGAGCCCAAGUAGCUAGGCAGAUCUAUUCAAUUCUAAUUGACCAAUUGGUAUCGAAAGGAAGUCUCGAUCGAUAAUUUUUAAUUGGAAGCAUGCUUACCUAGCCAUUUCGAUGGUGUCUAAGGCAAGCAUUGACAUGCCCUCCAUUGGUCUCACUUAUCUGGCCAACUUGAUCGGUUAAGUUUUGAAUAAGAUUGCUUAGUUAUUCGUGUUCAUCCAUGCCGACUGGGAUCGUCAGAUAUGAGACUAUGCUGACUUGAACCUGAUCAGUCAGACAUGAGAUUAUACUGUCUAGAUGAGAUCUGAACCCAAACCUUCCCAUAAAUAUUAAGUUCUAGGUCUUCCAUUAUUGUAGGAGUGCAGACGUCCUACUGAUGUUGAUUAUUCUCGGUUGAUUACAGUGGUUCAGUUGCAUAGAAAAGAUGCAACUAUUCCAUUAGCAUGAAAUGUUGCUAGGUA
rnacentral:lncRNA from 1 species